rnacentral:rRNA from 1 species
UACGUAGGGCGCAAGCGUUGUCCGGAAUUAUUGGGCGUAAAGAGCUCGUAGGUGGCUUGUUGCGUCUGCCGUGAAAGCCCCGUGGCUUAACUGCGGGUCUGCGGUGGAUACGGGCAGGCUAGAGGCUGGUAGGGGCAAGCGGAAUUCCUGGUGUAGCGGUGAAAUGCGCAGAUAUCAGGAGGAACACCGGUGGCGAAGGCGGCUUCUGGGGCCAGUUCUGACGUGAGGAGCGAAAGCGUGGGGGAGCAAAACGG